GUGUGUGUGUGUGUGAGUGUGUGUGAGUGUGUGUGUGAGUGUGUGUGUGAAUGUGUGUGAGUGUGUGUGAGUGUGUGUGUGUGUUUGUGAGUGUGUGUGAGUGUGUGUGAGUGAGUGAGUGUGUGUGUGUGAGUGUGUGUGAGUGUGUGUGAGUGUGAGUGUGUGUGAGUGUGUGUGAGUGUGUGUGAGUGUGUGUGAGUGUGUGUGAUGUUGUGUGUGAGUGUGUGUGAGUGUGUGUGAGUGUGUGUGAGUGUGAGUGUGUGUGUGUGAGUGUGUGUGUGUGAGUGUGUGUGAGUGUAGCUGAUUAUUUACAGUAGAUGAGGUGAUGCUCCAACAGAGGAAGCGUUAAUCUGUAGUGUAUGUGUUAUGAAAGUGCUGAGUGAGUGUGUGUGUGUGUGUGUGUGUGUGUGUGUGUGUGUGUUAUGAAAGUGAAGGGUAUGAACACGCCUCCGCUGAGCAUCACGUCAUCAAAUACAGAAACAUCUCUCAGUUCUCUCGACAUCUCAUUGUGUUCUACAGCAGUGAGAGUUCAGUGGAAGCACCAGAUCUGUAGAUCCAGAAGGUUCUUUAUCUCUGAGCUCAUGUGUUUAUUAUCGUGUUUCUGUAGAGCUUCUGCUUUCUCUUUCCCUUAAUUACACUGAGAAAUCUAAUCCAGGACGAGUCCGAGCAAUGAAAUCAGACUGAUUCAAUCAGGCAGUAAUUUAGUGCACAGUGGACACACACACACACACACACACACACACACACACACACACACACACACACACA
ensembl:lncRNA